rnacentral:misc_RNA from 1 species
GCUAGCCAACGCAUGUGCUAACACGUACUAUAAUAAUUUAGGAUAUAAAAUACAAAAAAGUAUUCAGUAACAGUUUAAAAUUCUAAUAAUCAUUAACUUGGUAAAAUAGCAGUCAACAAUUGAAAUUUUGUUUAAAAUACUUUAAAAAAAAAUUAACGUUCUCUAUCCCAUGUUAUACAAAUUUUGGAUAUUGAUGCACAUAUGGUUUCUAACAGAGCUAAAUGGCGAAAA